CCCACGGCUUACGCCGUGGGCUACUUUCUGGCGCCGCUCCGCGGCU
rnacentral:sRNA from 1 species